rnacentral:lncRNA from 1 species
AAAAGUUUAAUGAAGGAAUGUAUAAUAUCCAAGAAGAAUUAGAUGAAGUCAAGGUUCUUACCAAUGUAAUCCCUUUAAGGAUUUUUUGCAAGCAAAAAUGCAUGGAUCAGAUUUGGACUAUUUGGAACAAAUUGAAAAAUACACUGAUAGCAAAAUUGCAAAAGAUGUUGCAAUUAAUGUAAAGCAUCUUAUUGACACUUUUCCAGAGAAUAAGACAUCUAAAUAUCAAGCCUUGCUGGCUCUCUUCGCCACCAUGAAGUUGACGAUUGUCAUUUUGUUCUUCUCCCUGGCAUCUUGCUGUUCCUCUGGUAAGAACCCCUAA